GCCCAACUACAAACUUCCUUUGCUUGACUCUUAACACUGAGCUAAGAGUCUAUAUAUACUCAGGCCUCCAGUUCGGGGAAGCCCUUCGCGGCCAAUCAGGGCUUCCCGAUCUAUUGCGUCACACCUCCCCCCUGGGUGUGACGUCAAAGGCAAUCCCAGGCCAGCCACGUGGGUUGGAGGAGCGUUUCUGGGCAGCUGUUCCAGAGACACCCGGCAGCAACGGUCCCGCAAGGGUGGGGAACUGGGCAGGGAGGGGCAGACAGGGCUCCUACGCGCACCUUCUGGGAACACAACUGUGGCAGCUCGCUCGCCCCGGAGGCGCGCAGGGUCGUCCCCCCUCCCCGGAUACCGGAAAGUCUCUUCUCUUUUUCGUAUCAAAAAAAGCCCGGUGAAGACUCUGCAGAACCCAGGAAGCGCAGAAUCGGGAGAAAGUCUUUGGCUGGGGCUGGUUCAAGACCCUGCUUCAAUGGGCUGCUGGAAGCCAGGACUGGGGUUCCUCUGAGGUUGGACUUCUUUCGCGCUCGAUAGGCCUUGAAAACUGGGUUCCUGCUCCUUAUUACAUAUCUGGGACAAUAAUGAACAGGUCAAAACAGAAAAGUCGAGUAAACUGGGAGCGAUGCUUUUCAACACGUCGCGCAGGGUGUAGUGUUGGGGGAUGUGAUUUGAGGGCAAGAAUUUUAUUGCAAUACUAGGUAGUCAGCCAGCCCGGUCCCCGGGGGCCGACCUGCAAAGUACUACGCGUUUCCGCCCCCCGACCCCCCCACAGCGGUUACACCUCUGGGAAGCAUUACCUUGCCUGAUGACUUCACACUGCUCGGGGAAACCCACUUACUAAUUCUCCCCUACAAACCUUCAGGGCUUCAGCCUUUGUUUGAACCCUGCCUUAGGUGGUUCAACUCUUGAGAAACUGGCUUAAGUUUCAGAGCACAAUUUCAUCCACUUAAUCAGACUCCUGCUUCUUGAUUUUUAGUUGUACGGUAGUUUUUAAAUGCUAACCUGUAAUUUAAAAUAUAUUGUCUAACUGAUGUACUCUUACAUAUAAUGUGGAUUAAACUGAUUUAGGGGGAGGGUGGACAUCAUGGAGUGUCAAGUGUCUGGCUGUGGGACCCCACAGGGGCACUUAACAUCCACUCUAAACUUCCAUGAAUAUUAUAUGUAAUGCAGGCUUGCUGAUUAUUGCUUAGUAGUGCUUAACUGUUCCUGUGCUAAUGGUUCAAGCAGUGAAAACAUUUAGUAAAACUGUGUUUCUUUAUUAAUCAAAAACACAUUUGUUGUUUGUUCCCUUGAACUUGUAAUUCAUGGCCCAUAAAGCAAAAGCAAAAUAUUUCCUCACUGCGGAUGAAUGUAAAAGCUAAUUACAUAUCCGUGCAUUUCUGUCAGUUUCUCCCCCAUCCCCCAAGAGAAUGGGAAAGAGGCUAGAGGUGAAAGUUUACAUUUAAAUUCAGGGGUGAAGCAGAAUACUGUAUCAAUCAGAUUUUCUUAGGCAGGGCAUCCAGAAUAAGAGAUUGAAUAAAUUCAAAUCCCACCUUUGAUGAGGGAUUGUUUGUGUGUUCCUGGAAGCAUAUUUUACCUCUCUAGACCUUUAUUUCCUAGUUGAUAAAUGGAGAAAAUACCUGCUUUACAAAGUUGUUAUGAUGAUAGAACGUGUGAAACUAUGUUAGGAGAUUAGUAGAGUGCCUAAGCUCUACUCUUAGGUAGAGCUUCCUAAUGUAACUUAGCGUUUCCUAAUUUAACCAUUGUCGCUAUUCAAAAACAUUAGUACCCUUCUCCUGGUUUUCUAUUUGUUAUAUUAUUCUUGAUAGGCAUUAACUGGAGUUUCAUCCUGGGCUCAUUUGUUUGACCUACUUCAGCUUCCUACUGUCCCCUCACUGUCUCUCAUAGAUUGAAUUAUUCUAUGUGCCCAUGAAUACACCCCAAACCUUUACGUUUAACCAAAAUUCCUUUCUGGAUUCCAGGCCUGAAUUACGGCUACUAGCCAUCUAGUAUUGAUUAAUAAGCAUCAUAUUUGGAGACGGGAGAUUCAGUUUCACCAACAAGCUAUAGCUUGUUUCAACCAAUUGAAUAACAUACGAUUGUCAAUUUCAAUUUUACCUUUCUAUUUUAAACAUAAGCUGUUUGGAUCAGAAGAUGACAGAUGUUUCAGGUUUUGACAUCCUAAGACAUACUUCUCCAACCUACGCUUGUUAUGGUUUCAACUAUCCAAGACAACAUAGCGAAGAACUUCAGAGGUAGGAGCUUGACCUGAGUCAACGUGAGUCUGCAGCAUGCUCUUGCUAACCUCCUUCCCACAACACAGAACAAGUGUUCACCUGUCUGAGAGACCAAGUUUCCAGAAGAAGGAUUCAGUACCUUCAUACUUCUCUGUGUAAAUGGUUCUCAAACUUUUUGGUGUGAAGUCCCUCUAUACGCUCUUAAAAAUUGUUGAGGACUUCAAAAAACGUGUUUAUAUGGGUUAUAUCUAUCAAUAGACCAUAUUAGAAAUAAAAGCUGACCAAAAAAGUUUUAGAAUAUUUAUUAAUUAAUUUAAAAUAAUAAUAAACGCAAGGACUUGUCACCAUUUUUGUGAAAUGUGGCAUUGUUUUCCAUUUUUGCAAAUCUCCACUAUCUGGCUUAAUAUAAGACAGUUGGAUUCUCAUAGCUGCUUCAUCAUUCUAUUGUUUUGAUUGAAGUAUAUAAAGAAAAUCUGGCUUCAAACAGAUACAUAAUUGGGAAAUAGAGAAGUAUUUUAAUAGUCUUUUUAGAUAGUCUUCUGUGAUACUAUGUCAAAACUUGACAAAUAAUAGUUUUUUUAAACUUAAGUUGUAAUGGUGGAUCUAAAACAAUAGGAAUGAGCUUUUUGUACUCUGUUACUUAAAAUCUCUUUAUCUUAUACUUUAAAUGCAUCUUUUACAACCAUUCAUGCAUUUUAAUGUCCUGUAUCAUUUGUAUUGAUUACUAAGUUAGGCAGAUUUUCCGAAUGUUGAUAUAUUUCAUUAAAAAAACUCACAAUCAUUAAAAUCACCACCAGUCUCAUCCAAAGAGUCUUCAAAUAUUGAGAAGCUGUCACGGUCAUGGUGGCAAAUAAAGUUUUCCAAAAUUCUAAUUUUCUCUUGAAAGCUCAGAUAUUUCCAGUAGCAGCAAAUACUGUCAGUUGCUUUCACUGUAGCCACAAGUUCACUUCACUCAUAUUUCAAAAAAAUGAAAUGUCUUCCAAAUACCCAAGUCUGAUUAAUAGUAGUUUGUCAGUUGUUCUUUGAAGUAAAAAUGAUAUCCCAUGAUAAAAGUGGCCAGCUCAGCUCAGAACUCAGUCAUGUGAAAGCUCUUCUUCCAGUCAACCAUGUAGUUUCUUGUACAGCAAGCUGUGUACUUUUCAUUUCUUCACAGAAAAUAUUAGAAAGACGUGUUCUCAAGGGUUGACACAAUGAAAUUAAUCAUUUUUACUGCUUUAUCAAAGAUUUUCUUAAAUGAAAUUUGCUUUUUAUUUCCCUGUGAGUGCAUGGGGUAAAGAAUACAAAGACUGAUGGUACUUACUUACGGUACUUAUACAAAGUUUGAUGCCACUACCUGUUUCAUGCUAAGGUACUAGCAGCUUUAUUCACCAUUACUUUUGCACCAUCAGUGUAAAUGUCCACAAACUAAAAAAUGCAGAUGAUUUCUAGAAUUAUUAUAAAAAUAGUGUUGAUCUUACUAAUCCCUUGAAAGGGUCUUGGGGUCCCCAACGGUCUACAGACCGACCACACUUUGGAAAGAAUAGGGUUAUAUUAAGCAUACCAAAAGUAGCAGUACAAAUCUGAGGGUUUUACUUUAAGAAGAACAUCCACAAACUAUUGCACAUUGAGAAGAGAUCUAGCAGUGAGAAGAGGAAAGGCAAUAGUAAUCCUGUCAUAUGACUAUGACUAUAGGAAAUAGAAAUGCUUAGGAUGACAGGAGAUUCAGAGAACCUGACAGACACUGGAAAACUUCUAUAGGGCUUGCAUAUACAUGUGUUAAUUCAAGGCUGACCUCUUCAGGCUUGAGGAUUAAUUCAGACAAAAUUUUGAAGAGGGUAUGGCUAUGUUUAUCACUAAAUUUGAAGAUGUGGCUAGAGGGAGAUAUUGAAGCAUCUGUCAGACACCCAGGAAAUUAGAAGGAACAGAUUGGAAGAGAUUAAAAUACUUACUGAUUCAUUGAUACAGGUAGAAGCGGAUAAUUUUAUUUCUCAUAGUUUUCGAAGAUCUCGCUAUAUUAGGUAGAGGAGUAAUUUAUCAAUUGUUGAUCAUUUCAAAUUAGAUUCUGAAUAUUAUUAGAGCUACGCUUUAAGGAUUGCCCAAAUGAAAGGAAAGGGACAAAAAUCUCUUUCCUCAUCAGAUACUCCCUUGAUAAUCAUAUUCCAACAUCCCCUUCCAUAGCUCAGGACACUAGCUUUAAAAUAUUAUACGACUUAGUCUAAAUCCUCAAAGGUGGAUAAUCAAAAGUACCUGAGAUUAAUGAUUGUGAUUUGAUUGACAACAAAAUACCCCUAUACAACCAUCUGGAUGAUUUUUUUUUUAAGAAAAACUUUUAUUUUGGAAUUUUACCUUAAAUUUGAAGAUAUGGGGGCUUUACAUUCAUAUUCGUGGACUAUUUAAAUUUCCUGGACUAUUUAAAUAUAAACUUAUAUAUGUUUCAGAUUGGAGGAGGAGAAGUUAUUUUACAUAGCCUAACUAACAUCAUUUGCAUCUUUCUGACCCAGAUAACAGAAAAGGACACAACUAUUUAUCCUUGGUUUAAAUGCCAAAAAUUUCUGUCAACAGGGUUUAUAUUUUACAGGACAAAUCAAUAAAAGCAGAAGGUGCUUCUUAGGGGGAAGUCUGUAAUCUAAUUGUCCUUUGAUAUUUUAAUAGUCUCAAUUGUGUGACUAAAGAGAAGAUUUUGAAAUGUAUUCGUUUGUCCACAAGCAAUUGCUAAAUAGUCUUAAUUGUGGAAAUAGAUUAAGUAACUGCAUUGUUUAAAUCUUCUUCCUUGGACAUUAUGUGGCAUUUCACAUUAUUCCUGAAAAGCUUAGCAAGAUUUCAAACUUUUUCAAAUCAUAAAAAAGAUAUGCUUAAUUUCUGGAAACAAAUUUAUUUUUUAUUAGAGGGAGUAGUUGUUAAAGUUUUCUAGGUAGAGGGACUCUUUUUUAAUAAUUUGAAAAGAAAAGUGACUCUGUUCCCGGAAGAGUGAAUAUAUGCUCAAACAUUUCCAUACAAUUUCGGGGGUUCACAGAUUCCUUGCCUCAAAACGUGUUCAUGGACAGAUGAAAAAUUCCCUUGUCCAAGAGAAGUAUUGUUCAGUCUUUGGGAAUACUAUGAAACCCUAAAUCUUCCUAAUGCAUGAGAAACCACAUCAUAUAGCUAAAUGUGUAAAAGGAAGACAAAGGGAGGGAAAAACCCUAAGCAAACUUUUUAUUUUCUCUAACGAGUCACAUUAAUUUUUUUAAUGCAUCAAUUUGGGGAAGAGGAAAUCUCAAAUUAAGGCAAUCUUAGACAUUUUGGAGAAAGCUUUCCAAAGGGAAUAGGAAACUGAGAAUACAAGAUUUUUCAAGAAUCCACUACAUUUCCACUUCCUCAGGCAUUGAAACCUGAUUUUAUAUUUUUAGAACAAGAAAAUCCAAAUUCUAUUCCAAGAUUUCAAGUAAGACUGCUUUCAAAUACAGGUGGCUGAAAUCCGUGGGAGGAAAACUUUGAACCAAUUCAGUAAAGUGAGACUUCCUACCUUUAUCCAAGAGAGGUGUUAGCUUCAAGACCCAAUUAGCAGAAUUUCCAUUCCAAUUGCACCUGAGAGCUGGUACUGCCGCUGCCAGUCCGAAAAUGCCAUUAAGAAGUGUGAUUCCGUGCAUUGCAUUAGUCACAUCCUGCCUACCAAGGAUGUCAGGAUAACUGAGGAUGAAAGCAAGCAAGUGCGAUGCUAUUCAAAGGAAUUACAUUUUCCUGAAUUAUAGGAAUGUUCUCGCCCAUAGCGUCUUCUUUCUAGUAUUUUAAAGUUUCAAAGUUCAACUCAGAUCUGUGGGAGUCUGAGAACUUCAUAUGCAAUGGUUCCAUCUAUAUAUUAUACGUAAGCCAAGAACCAGGACGUAUUUUGAGUUUGUUCCUGACUCACCUCUUGCAGAGAACACCUGUUGUUUGUUCACACCGAAUUGGUCAGGCUUCUAAUUAAGCAAUUUGCGAAGUAGCCUCAUUGUUUUGGAAAGCCGAGUGGUUCCAGGAAUCAGAGGUGAAAAGAAAAGACUUCUCAGAGUGUGGACUGAAGGUGGCCUCGGUCACAGUCACCCGGCUACUUUUAGAAAUACAGAUUCUGUGUGUCCAAACCCCAGACCCAUUUCACUAGAAUUUGUAGUGCUGAGUCUGGGAACACACCUGUUUUGAAAGCUUCCUCAGGGAGUUCAUAUGCACUCUGAAUCUUGGGAACUUCUGCUUUGGGGAUGAUGUAGAUGAAGAAAUUGGUUUCCUGGGCUUUUUACACAUAGCUCUUUAAAAUUAGAUUUUUGUCCUUAACUUUACUUGGAUAACAAAAGAGUAAAAACACCUCUUUUGCAAAAUACAGCUGAAUUGUGAAUUCUAAAGAAUUUCUCUGCUUAAUGACAUUAUGUUGGUCUUGAACACGAUGAGGUUUAUAUAAUCAGUAGGCUAUCUACUGCCAUAUUAAUCCAGUGUUUUCUACCACAAGUGGGGCAGUAUCAAGCAUAGAAAUGAGGGCUCUGGACUGGAACUGUUACCCAGUCCUAAGGUGACAACUGACUGCAAGUGGGUCCUUUUGCCUGGAGCUGGUCGCGCCGAUAGAAGGGACCGGGUUGGGAGCAGAGCAGAAACGGUAUUCAUUGAUCAAGGAAUGGAGGAGGCAGGGCUGGUGCUCUAAAACACCUUCUCCGCAGAAGGAAGUGAGCAGUGUUCUUAUGGGAUGUGAAGGGGGAGGGGUCUCCGCAUCAUCACUUGGAGUGAGGGCAUUAGGAGCAUCUUCCUUUCUUCCACACAGCACCUUUUGUACACAUUUCCUUUUGGAAAUCACCAUCGCCAUCUUGGACCUUUCUGGUUUGGACCGGUUCUGCGGUUAGGCCAUCUGGCGUUGCUCCACCUUGGUUCCUAUAAGCAAGUACAACUUGAAAACAAAGCAUCAGACAUGGAAAAUGUGUUAGGGACUUCCCUGGAUGACAGAACAACCUAUUUCGGACACUCACGCACAUACUAUCUGUGUGGUCUUGGGCAAAUUGCUUAAUCAUUCUAAGACUCAGUUUCUCUCUAUGUAAAAUGGGAAUAGUAGUAAAACUUUACCUUUAAAGUUCAAGUGGGAAGUACAUGAAAUUAUCCAUCGAAAGCUCUGAUUAGUGUGCAGUAAAUGUUAACCAUAAUUAUUGGUGUUGAAAACACUGUUAGAUUGAAAGACAAGUGCCUAAGAACUUCUUCCUCCAUUGCUGUGGAGAUGUUCAAUUUCCCCUGUUCUGGUAGGCUUCCUGCCACUGUAUAUUCUAGAUUAUGCCCAGGAUUCAAAAAUUUAAAAAGCUGUUCAAUCUUGAAGAUUUAAAAGCUACAGAUUUGGGUUUUAAUUCCUAAAGAAAAUCUGUUUGAAGUACUAAUUGAGUACCUGCAGGAAGUAUGUAGUUCAGAAGGAAUUUUCUAUGUGAGUAUUCACCAAGUCUACCUAAAUUAUAAAAAGCCUCAUGUUUACGAAUUAAAAGCCAAAUUUAAAAUACUUCUUUGAAAGAGCUGAGUGUUGUUUUUCUUCCAUAAUGUAUUUACCCAAGGAGGUUGACUUAGAUGGAGCAUCUGUUUUCGGCGUUCUUGCUUUUCACCUAUGAUUCCAGCAGAAUGCUCUAAGGUGCAGAGGGGUCAAGUGACUUGCUCCAGGCCGCACACAAUGAGUGAGUGAUUCAGGCCAGACUGAAUCAAGGAUUUCUAUGCCAGGGCUUCUGGCAAGUCUCUUUGGUAGGAGGGUCCAAAAAUAAAUGGUUAACUGAAAAUAAAUCUUUACGCCUCUGCUUUUAGAGACAAGAGAAGGGAUACAUUUGCUAUUUGUCAUGUCUUAAUUCAAUUUAAAUUUCUAAAUAAAAUAUUUCUAAAUAUAAUAACUCAAACAUAGCUUUUCAAUUCUCUUCCAAAUAACUGAAUUUAUGCUAUUUAACUGACUAUUGAAUUGGAAGUAUAGCAGAAGAGUUUCUCUCUUGGAAAUUUUGGCCAAUUUGGUCUACUCUCCAUCAUCUCUGCUCGUUUCGAGUCAUUGUGUUCACUGUUGCCAAGCAUUCAUUCACCAAAAGUUUAUUGAGCAUCUACUGUGGGCCAUUUACAUUUACAAUCUUGCCAUUAACAUUUGUAGGACUCAGCACAAAGGUACUAAUAGAGGCUCACAUGUCUUAUGUCUAAAUGCCUAAUAUUUGUAAAUAAAGCUGGCAAAGUAUUCAAUAAAAUUAGUUCUUCUUGUCUUGACUAAUAUGCCAUCAUAAAAACUUACAAGCCAGUUUCAAAUUUAGAAUUCUCAAACACCUCAGUGUUGUGUGCCAGAACAGCAGUGCAAGAACAUACAACCAGCCACCUGCCCCCCGGUGCCAGUCUCCUGCCUCUGGUUCUCAGCCCAGCCCUCUUUUUUUCCCACCCCUGGCUCCAUCCUAUAAUGUGAUAUGCCUUGCACACAAGCUUUGAAUAUCUCAGCUUGCACAUCCAAGCUCGUCCACAGUUCCCGAAAUCAGC
rnacentral:lncRNA from 1 species